rnacentral:rRNA from 1 species
UCGGGAAUUUUGGGCAAUGGGCGAAAGCCUGACCCAGCAACGCCGCGUGAGGGAUGAAGUAUUUCGGUAUGUAAACCUCGAAAGAAUGAGAAGAAUAAAUGACGGUACCAUUUAUAAGCUCCGGCUAACUACGUGCCAGCAGCCGCGGUAAUACGUAGGGAGCAAGCGUUGUUCGGAUUUACUGGGCGGAAAGGGCGCGUAGGCGGCGCGGUAAGUCACUUGUGAAAUCUCUGAGCUUAACUCAGAACGGCCAAGUGAUACUGCUGUGCUAGAGUGCGGAAGAGGCAACCGGAAUUCUUGGUGUAGCGGUGAAAUGCGUAGAUAUCAAGAGGAACACCUGAGGCGAAGGCGGGUUGCUGGGCCGACACUGACGCUGAUGCGCGAAAGCCAGGGGAGCAAACG